GAAAAAAGACAAAUUUGAGGGGAAAAAAGUGAAUUUUUGACUUUAAAACCCUCAAAUUUUAGUGUGGGGAAAGGUGAAAUUGAACGAUUAAAAACCCUGAAUUUCUAUGGAGAAAAAAGCCAAAUUUUGAGGAGCAGGAAUGUUUCCAGGAGGAGCUGAGGAGGGCCCAGCGCAAACUGCUGAAAGUGUCACGGGAUAAAAGUUUCCUCCUGGACCGCCUCCUCCAGUACGAAAACGUCGACGAUGAUUCCUCAGGUACCUCGGGGUGGGCGGG
rnacentral:lncRNA from 1 species